GGCUACCAUGCAGUCGAGCGCGAAAGGCUUUCGGGCUGAGUAGAGCGGCGGACGGGUGAGUGACGCGUAGGAAUCUACCUGGUAGUGGGGGGCAACUUGGGGAAACUCAAGCUAAUACCGCAUACGCCCUAUGGGGGAAAGCGGGGGACCUUCGGGCCUCGCGCUAUCAGAUGAGCCUGCGUAGGAUUAGCUAGUUGGUGAGGUAAAGGCUCACCAAGGCGACGAUCCUUAGCUGGUCUGAGAGGAUGAUCAGCCACACUGGGACUGAGACACGGCCCAGACUCCUACGGGAGGCAGCAGUGGGGAAUAUUGCGCAAUGGGGGCAACCCUGACGCAGCCAUGCCGCGUGUGUGAAGAAGGCCUUCGGGUUGUAAAGCACUUUAAGUGGGGAAGAAAAGCUGUUGCCUAAUAAGCUGCAGCCCUGACAUUACCCACAGAAUAAGCACCGGCUAACUCCGUGCCAGCAGCCGCGGUAAUACGGAGGGUGCGAGCGUUAAUCGGAAUUACUGGGCGUAAAGCGCGCGUAGGCGGUUUGUUAAGUCAGCUGUGAAAGCCCCGGGCUCAACCUGGGAACUGCAGUUGAUACUGGCCGACUGGAGUACGAGAGAGGGAGGUAGAAUUCCAUGUGUAGCGGUGAAAUGCGUAGAUAUAUGGAGGAAUACCGGUGGCGAAGGCGGCCUCCUGGCUCGAUACUGACGCUGAGGUGCGAAAGCGUGGGGAUCAAACAGGAUUAGAUACCCUGGUAGUCCACGCCGUAAACGAUGUCUACUAGCCGUU
rnacentral:rRNA from 1 species